UACGUAGGGGGCGAGCGUUGUCCGGAAUUACUGGGCGUAAAGGGUGCGCAGGCGGCUUGACAAGUCAGAUGUGAAAAGCUACGGCUUAACCGUGGACGUGCAUAUGAAACUGUUGGGCUUGAGUGCAGGAGAGGCAAGCGGAAUUCCUAGUGUAGCGGUGAAAUGCAUAGAUAUUAGGAGGAACACCAGUGGCGAAGGCGGCUUGCUGGACUGUAACUGACGCUGAGGCACGAAAGCGUGGGGAGCAAACAGG
rnacentral:rRNA from 1 species